UUCUUAGGGAAGAAUUCUGACGGUACCUAAGGAAUAAGCACCGGCUAACUCCGUGCCAGCAGCCGCGGUAAUACGGAGGGUGCAAGCGUUACUCGGAAUCACUGGGCGUAAAGGGCGCGUAGGCGGAUUAUCAAGUCUCUUGUGAAAUCUAAUGGCUUAACCAUUAAACUGCUUGGGAAACUGAUAGUCUAGAGUGAGGGAGAGGCAGAUGGAAUUGGUGGUGUAGGGGUAAAAUCCGUAGAUAUCACCAAGAAUACCCAUUGCGAAGGCGAUCUGCUGGAACUCAACUGACGCUAAGGCGCGAAAGCGUGGGGAGCAAACAGGAUUAGAUACCCUGGUAGUCCACGCCCUAAACGAUGUACACUAGUUGUUGGGGUGCUAGUCAUCUCAGUAAUGCAGCUAACGCAUUAAGUGUACCGCCUGGGGAGUACGGUCGCAAGAUUAAAACUCAAAGGAAUAGACGGGGACCCGCACAAGCGGUGGAGCAUGUGGUUUAAUUCGAAGAUACGCGAAGAACCUUACCUGGGCUUGAUAUCCUAAGAACCUUUUAGAGAUAAGAGGGUGCUAGCUUGCUAGAACUUAGAGACAGGUGCUGCACGGCUGUCGUCAGCUCGUGUCGUGAGAUGUUGGGUUAAGUCCCGCAACGAGCGCAACCCACGUAUUUAGUUGCUAACGGUUCGGCCGAGCACUCUAAAUAGACUGCCUUCGUAAGGAGGAGGAAGGUGUGGACGACGUCAAGUCAUCAUGGCCCUUAUGCCCAGGGCGACACACGUGCUACAAUGGCAUAUACAAUGAGACGCAAUACCGCGAGGUGGAGCAAAUCUAUAAAAUAUGUCCCAGUUCGGAUUGUUCUCUGCAACUCGAGAGCAUGAAGCCGGAAUCGCUAGUAAUCGUAGAUCAGCCAUGCUACGGUGAAUACGUUCCCGGGUCUUGUACUCACCGCCCGUCACACCAUGGGAGUUGAUUUCACUCGAAGCCGGAAUACUAAACUAGUUACCGUCCACAGUGGAAUCAGCGACUGGGGUGAAGUCGUAACAAGGUAACCGUAGGAGAACCUGCGGUUGGAUCACCUCCUUUCUA
rnacentral:rRNA from 1 species